rnacentral:snoRNA from 1 species
UUUUGUGAUGACUAUACGACACGUAAGGCAUUCCUCAGACUUAAUAUAUCAUGUGGAAUCUGUCAAAUACAAGUUUCAGCCUUGUCUGAAU